rnacentral:lncRNA from 1 species
UACAUCAAUUCGAUCAACUGUUGAUUUUAGAGUAACUGUUGAUUUUGGUUGCAUAAUUUUAUAAAUGGUUAAUUUCAUACAAAUUCCUACAAACAUAGUGAAUAACAAAUAUAUCUAUAUAAAGUUAAGCUUUUAUAUGUUGUAUCUACAAAAGUCCUGAUAUUUUCAAAUUUGUCCUUAUCGUUAGAAUCCGUUAGAAAAAUUUAGUUAGCCAUAGGUUAAAUAUUUAACCCUGAUUAUUUUCUGACAUUUUUAUUCCUCUUAUAUAAUACUGUUAUGACUUUUAGAGAAUAUAUUUGUGAUGGCAAAAUUAAAAAUAUACACAGUUUUCUAACGGUUCUCUAACAAUAAUAAACCAGAAGGACAUAUUUGAAAAUAUCAGAAUUUUUACAAGAACAAUAUAUGAAAAUUAAACUUUGUAGGAAUAUAUUUGUUAUUCGCUAUAUAUAUUUACAAGAACAUGUAUAGAAUUAACCAUUUUAUAAAA